UCUAAUUUUUUUGGAUUCAUGUAAUAUAAAUAGAUAUUAUUUAUUCGAACCAAAGAUGAAUUUUUCUUUUUGUAGCACGUGUUUUUGCGUAUGGACAAACGAGCAGCGGAAAGACGUAUACAAUGACUGGAAUAACUGAAUACGCACUACCUGACAUAUAUGGAUACAUACAGAAGCACCAAGAAAGAGAUUUCGUGUUCAAAUUCUCUGCUAUGGAGAUCUACAACGAAUCGGUGAGAGAUCUACUAAGUGUAGAUAACACUCCACUAAGACUUCUCGAUGAUACAGAGGUGAAUUCUUUUUCAUUGACAAGCGAUUUUGCUCAAUUUUAAUUUUUUUCUCUUAAUUUUGUUAUUUUUGAUUUCGCUUAUCGGUACUUAUUUCGCCAGAGAGGAACCAUAGUCGAGAAGCUGAGAGAGGAGAUAUUAAGGGACUGGAGUCAUGUGAUUCAUCUCCUUUGUAUAUGUGAAGCUCAAAGACAAAUUGGAGAAACGUCGCUUAAUGAAAUGAGCCCGAGAUCCCACCAAAUUAUUAGAUUGACUAUUGAAAGCUGUUCUCGUGACUUUUUAGGAAGGGAAAAUGCGAGCACUCUUACAGCUGUUAUGGUAUGGAAUUUAUCUAAUAACAAAAAAAUAAUG